rnacentral:lncRNA from 1 species
UCGAGGCUGAAGAGUCGAGGUCUGUUUGUGUUUUAUCGACUUCCGGCAAGCUCCGAAGUCAAAGUUCCAUUGGUCUUGGUCGCGUCCCCAUCCGAUUCUGGAGCUGCAAAUCAGCUAAGCUCAGAUUCAUUUCUAGAGAGGCUUGUUUUCUGUUUAUUUUGGUUCUAUUGUAAUCAUGUAUUACUUUUGACUGGAAUGAUGCAAAUAUUAUGUUCCGUUGAAUGAAGAUUAUAUGAGCUCGCCUCUAUUUAAAUUUGUUUCAAAUUCUAUAGUUGUGUAGAUGUUUACCUUGUUUAAAUGCUAUAUUGCUAUUUGAAAUGUCUAUUCAUGGUGUGAGAUGCCUAUCAAGAAUUUUAUUUAUUAAAUUAUUGUCAAGAUGAAAAGGAAUCACGUUCGCAGUUGGUAAAAAUGUUGCAUCACUUUGCUUGGACAUCAUGUGUAAAUUAUGUCAGUAAUGAUUCUACCAAAUGAAGGUUUAGGCUCAUGAGGAUUUGAUUUGUUAAGUUGGUUUGCCUUGUUUAAAGCAUCAAUCUGUUGUAGUUAGUUCGACCUGAAGUAAUCGAGUUAGCAUGUAGUUGAAGAAAGAGUGUUAGUUCAUAAAAUUUCUUGUUAAUUGUAAACAAAUUUCGAAUGUCAGUCUUUAUAAAUAAUUUUGUAUCGUGUUGAAAUUUGAAAAUCAUAUAUUAGUGUUUGCCAUAUAACUCGUUAGUUCCAUGUUGUGCUGGGUGAUUGGAGUUUGGAAGAAAGUCUAAUGACAACAACAACAACAACAACAACCCAGUAUAAUCCCACAAGUGGGGUCUGAGGAGGGUAAUAUGUACGCAGACCUUAUCUCUACCACGAGGGGCAGAGAGGCUGUUUCCAGGAGACCCUCGGCUCAAAGGGGAAACAAGAAACAUUAUAUUAGUACUAUCAAUAGACUCAUAAUAAAACAACAUAAAAUACCAUAAAAUCCAUAACAUAACAUAAAUACCAUAAAAUAACAAAGUGUCAGCAAUAUAAGAGAUAUAGGAAAUACGAGAAAGAUGUAAGGUAUUAAUACACAACAGAUAAAGCCCGUCAUCAGUAGUUGAUCAAUAACAUCCUAAGACUAAUUCCUAACUGGCUAGUCUCACUCUAGUGCGCUGUAGUAAAGACAUCACAAUUUCCCCUAACCUACAACCUUAAUGCUCGAUCUCCACAAUUCCCUGUUUAGGGUCAUGUCCUCAGUAACCCUAAGUCGCGUCAUAUCCUGCCUGAUCACCUCUCCCCAAUACUUCUUAGGUCUCCCUCUACCUCUCAUCGUACCCACCGCCGNNNNNNNNNNNNNNNNNNNNNNNNNCCUCCAAAGCUCAACCGGAAUUUCAUCUGGACCGGUAGCUCUGCCCCUUCUCAUCUUACGCAUUGCCUCCACGACCUCAUCGACCUCAAUGUCCCGACAAUCACUUAGUUCAUGGGGGCUGUCGGCAUUCCUCAAUUCACAACAAAACUUUGCCAUCCUGAUCCCCUUCCUCAUUUAGAAGUUUAUGAAAGUAGGUAUGUCCUCUCCUCUUAAUCUGGUCAUCCCCCAACAAAACUUUGCCAUCCUCAUCUUUUAUGCACCUCACUUGGUCCAAAUCCCGAGUCGUCCUCUCUCUCACCUUAGCGAGUCAGAGUAACUUCUUCUCCCCGCCUUUGUUCCCUAGUUCCUCAUACAAACGAGCAAAAGCUGUCGUCUUUGCCUCCGUCACUGCCAUCUUUGCCUCCUUCCUAGCUACCAUAUAUUUCGCAAUCGCUCUCUUCUCCUCCUCUCCAGUGCUCCCCACUAACCGCAGGUAAGCCACCUUCUUCGCUUCCACUUUACCUUGUACAACUGCAUUCCAUCACCAGUCUCCUUUGUGGCCACCGGUGCGUCUUGAAGAUACCCCUAACACCUCUCUCGCUGAAUGCUCUGAAAAUUAUUGGGCCUGUUAAUAGGCCCAAACACGGUUUUUGUUACCAUCAACUUCAUGCCUUUAUUGUCGGACCCCAGUAAUGGGUUCAAACAUAUUUCAAGAGUUUACAUUGUUAGUGUCAAAAUUCUACAUUUUAUUUCUCUAAAUACAAUUUUGCUCACAGAUGAUUCCACAAUAAAUCAUUUCAGAACUUUGGCCUCACAAUAAUCUCAAAUUAGUUUAAUUAGAAAAAUAAUAUCGAUAAACAUCGUAGCUUCCUUUAGGCGUGAUUAAUAAAUCAUCGCGACUGUGGGUACGGCUCCUGUGACAUGGUUUGGAUACGUAAUUCCCAAAGUCGGGUGCAUAUUUCAUGUGACCCGACCCCAACUUCGAAUAUUAAUAAAAUACGUGUGUUGCAGAUUGUGGGUAUGGUUCCCGUGACACGAUUCGCAACAUGUAGAAAAAUAAACAAGUGUACGAUAAUCGUAACUUAUUCCAGAAAUAAAUCCAUAAAUAAUUAAAAGUGGUUGAAAAGCUAAAAGUGCACAUUAAGUAUAAAAUAUGUAAUUAAUCAGAUAAGGCCAAUUAAUAAUAGUUGAACGACCGUGCUAAAACCAUGAAACCCAGGAAUGCCUAAUAACUUCUCCCACGUUAACAUAAUUCCUUACCCGAAUUUUUGUGUUUUGCGGACUGUAAAACAGAGUCAAACUUCUUCGAUUUGGGAUUUUAAACUGGUGACUUGGGACACCAUAAAUUAUCCCAAGUGGAGACUCUAAAUUUGAAUAAAUAAUCCCGUUUUGGUUUUGUUACCUUAAUUGGAAAAACUCCUCUAUACCCUUCCGAGUAGAAAAAGGAGGUGUGGCAACUCUGGUGUGAUGAACUGGCCGGUCGUCUUAAGAAUUUAUAGUCCGAUACCCUAUUAACUGCCUUCCUUGAGUUUAUUUCUGCUAUUUUGAUUUGCCGGGAUGAACGAUUUUGAAUUUCGGAGAGUUUUGGGACACUUAGUUACUAAAUGAGAGCUUAAGUAUUGGAAAGUUGACUGUAGUCAGAACACUGUGAAGAUGGAAUCAGAAUGGAAAUCUGAUGGUUCCGUUAGCUCCAUUCGGUGAAUUCGGGCUUAGAGGCGUGUUCGGAUUGUGUUUUGGAGGUUCGUAGCUAAUUUAGGCUUGAAAUGCCGAAAGUUGAAUUUUUGAAGUUUCUGGUCCGAUAGUGAGAUUUUGAUCCAAGGGUCAGAAUGAAAUUCCGGAAGUUGGAGUACCUCCGUAGUAUUGAAUGUGACGUGUGUGCAAAAUUUCAGGUCAUUCGGACGAAGUCUGCUAGACUUUUUGAUCGAAAUCGUAUUUUGAGAAAAUUUGGAGUUCUUAGGCUUAAAUCCUUGGUUAAUUUGAAGUUUCGAUGUUUUUUAGGUGUUUUAAUUAUUGGCAAAAGUUUGGGUAGUGUUUUGUGACUUGUUGGUGCCUUUAGUUGAGGUCCCGGAGGCCUCGGGAUGAAUUUGGAUGGUUGACGGAAAGAUUUUGGAGUUUAAGUUGUAGCUUCAGCUGCUGGUGCUGUCAUAACCGCAUAUGCGGUUUGGGUUCCGCUGGUGCGGCGCCGCAAAAGCGGCUCAGCGAUCGUAGGAGCGGAGUUGUGGAGUAGCAGCAGGUUCCGCAGAUGCGGGUGGUUAACCGCAGAAACGGUACCGCACCUGUGGACGGUAAAUCGUAGGUGCGACAGUUGAACCUUAAGUGUAAGUCGCAGAUGCGACCCAUUAUUCUGCACAUGCGGGACCACAGAAGCGGUCCCAAGGCCGCAGAUGCGUAAACUUCUGGGAAGAUUAUUUUAAAAGGGGUUCCGCGACUUUGGGGUUUAUUUCAACAUUUUUAUCAUGGCUUGGGAGAUUUUGGGACGAUUUGAAAGAGAGAUUUCAAGGGAACUUCAUUGAGGUAAGGAAUUUGGACCUAAAACUCGUUCCUAUGCUAUUAUUCCAUGGAUUAGAGCUAGAAAUCAUGGAAAUUAAGGGUGAAAAUUUGGGGAAACUAGGGCUUAAUAUUGGAGACCUUUGAGUAAUGAUUUGAGGGACUAUUUGAGGUCUGAUUUUGGUAACUUUGGUAUAAAUUUUACCUGAUUCGCAUAUUAGCUUAGAAUUAAUUUGUAGAAUCAGUUACUUGAAGUGUUACUUACAUUAUGCAAUUGAAUUGAAUAGAUUUGGGUCAUCUGGAGUCGAGUACUCGUGGCAAGAGCGUGGUUUUGGAUUGAUUAUUGAGUCGGUUCAAGGUAAGUGGCUUGUCUAACCUUGUGUGGGGGACCUUCCCCUUAGGAUUCAGUAUAUUUGAUAUUUGAAAUGCCUUGUGCGUGAGGUGACGAGUGCGUACUUAAGCUAAUCUUUGGAAAUCUGGUUUUCUUUACGUAAUUUAAAUUGUGUUCAUUUUCUUGUUUCAUUUUAGAUGCAAUCUAAACCUCCUGUUAGCUUAGAAAGAGUAUGCCUAAUUGACUUAACAGUUUAUUUGCUUAACAUGCCUUAAUUGCAUUACAUGAAGCAUGUUAGGCUAGAAUUAACUAUUUACUUGGUAUGGAAUUAGCAUUAAAUUGAGUAUUCUUGUGUUUCUUCUGUGUGUAUUUAAAUUGGGACUACGGGACGGCAUCCCGGGAGAUCCACUGUACAAAAUUAUGAUAUGGACUGAGGUGUGGGAUACCAAGAGAUACCUGGCACGUAUAUUGAGGAUACCAAGAGAUCCUCGGGAUACCAAGAGAUCCCUUGUAUACAUAGAGGAUACCCAGAGAUCCUCGGGAUACCAAGAGAUCCCCCGGUUAUCAUCCUUGCUAUGAGUGGUAUUUCCUCGCGGUUUGUCUUAAUCUCUGUUUUUGUUAUUGUACUCUUAUUAUCCUGUAUAGAUUCUUACUGUAGAUUCUCAAUUGUAUUGCUUAUCUUAUCCUGUCAUCUUAUUAUUUAUUUAAUUAAUCUCAUUAGGGCCUUGACCUUCCUAGUCACUACUCGACCGAGGUUAGGUUUGCCACUUACUGAGUACCGCUGUGGAGUACUUAUGCCACUUCUGCGCAUGUUUUUCAUGUGCAGAUCCAGGUAUCGCUACUCAAGCCUACCAUCCGUGAGGGAGGCGAUUGCUUAAAGACUUCGAGGUACAUCUGCCACGUCUGCAGACCGAGAAGUCCCUUUAUAUUACUGCUUUUAGUAUUUAGCCUUUCUGUAUUUUUCGCUCUUAUUAGACAUUUCGGAGUUAGAGCUAUGUAAUAUUUUUCUUAGCUUGUGAUUCGUGGGUUUCCAGGUCAUGAAUCUACGUAUUGGUAUUGAGAGUUAAACAUGGUGUAUGCCGGGCAACACCUUUAAAACACUGUUAUUACUUUAGUUUCUAUUUUAAACUAUUUUACUUCCACAAAUUUUGGUUUUUCUUCCGCAACUUAGGCUUACCUAGUCAUAGAUACUAGGUGCUGACAUGAUGGUUCAUGGAGGGCGAACUGGGGUCGUGACAUCUGGCGAGUCUGCUGGGGAUAAGAACCUAGAAUCUCUUGUUCAGAGUUCAGAAUUCGAGCAUAGAAUAGCUGUUAUAGAUGACUUUUAUUUAUUAUGUGAUUUUUAUUACAUGUUUGAGCCUAAUGUGCUAAAUACCGCUUUUUACCGCUUUAAUAUUGUUUGAACUGUAUAUAAACUGUUAUGAAACCCUUCUUCUCUCUGAGUCUUCUAAAUAUUCUGGGAAGUGUACGCCGGCGUAACUUCUUUUCUGUUAGAGUCAUACCCUAAUUUAGAACGAGAAUCAAAUCAGUUAUAAAGUCGGAUGGCCUUUUGGUUACCGGUACGUUUCCCUCCGGCUCGAGUUGUCUGCUCGGGUAAGCCAGCUAUAGAACAAUACACCCAGGUUUUUCAAAACCUAGAAUAACAUAGUUUCAUGCCGGAUCCCUAGUAGGGACGCUUGUUUUCAUCACGUGCAUUUGAAUUUUGGUACUCAACACAGGGGUUGGGUCCGUCUAGGACAGGUGUACCCGAAAUAAAAGACCAUCCUGAUGGAUCUUUACGUACUAUUUGUGCAUUUAUUUGUUUCGGCAUGCAUGUUGAUCGGCUUUUAGAUUAGGGAAGAAAAAUCAAAGGAAAACCAAGAUUGAGGUAGGAGAGAGAAAAUCAUCCAUUUCCAAAAAAAAACUUGGUGUACAAAUAUCCCAAAAUUCUGUGGAAAUUUUGAGAAAAAAAGUAGAAAAGGAAAAUUUAUUUCAAAAGAAGUCAUAUUUACCGUUAUGUCACAACUGAUAGAACUACGUGGGUCUGAUUCUCACCGGAUGUGAGAUACGUAGGCAAACCUCAUCUGUUUCAGCCCCCAGUUUUAAAAAAUCCAAAAAUAUUUUCCUUUAAUUCCUUCUUUAGAGAAGUCUUUCUUUGAGAACCCAAUUUUAAAAACCCAAAAAUAUUUUCUUUUAAUUUCUUAUCAAAAUCCAAAAAUAUUUUCAUUCUUCUUCAGAAGUUUUUCUUUCGAAAAUUCAAAAUUCAAAAAUAUUUUUUCUUUUCUUUCGAAGUAUUUCUUUCAUAAACUCAAAAUAAAAUUCCAAAAAAUCCAAAAACAUUUCCUUUCUUCUUUAAAAGUUUAUCUUUUGAAAUUCCAAAAAAAAUGUCGAAAUUCAAAAAAAAAAAAAUCUUUCUUCUUUAGAAGUUUUCUUUUCAAAAAUUCUCAAAAAAAAAACAAAUCGAAAUCCAAAAAAAAAAUUCUUUCUUCUUUAUAAGUCUUUCUUUCGGAAAUUAUAAAAAAAAAUCAAAAUCCAAAAAAUGAGUUAGUUUAUUUAUUUUAUUCCUAAUCUUCCUGAACUACGCGAGAUCUGGUUUAUGUUCCCACAUGAUACGUAGGCAGCCCACAUCAGGUUCGAUCGAAUGGUUUUAAAAUAAUAUAUUAAAAAAAGAGAAAAAAAGAGAAAAGAGAAAAAAGGAAAAAAAGAAAGAAAGAAAGUGUUUAUUCUAACAUGCUUGUUGUUUUGAAAUAAAAGCUAGUCAAAGGUGGUCGGUUUGUUGGUUUGCAAUGGCAAGUCACAAAAACAAUACAAGAUCUCUCAGAAAUAAAAGCAUCUUUUCAACCAAUGGAACAAGCAUUAUUGUUGUUGAUCCAAGGUCACUAAAAGGUAAGUAGGCAAUUUGGUGAUAAAAAUAAAAAAUGGAGGCAAAUGUGGGGUUGAUUUUACCAGAUUUGAGCAAUAGGACAUGCCCUGCUCAGGAUGAUUGUCAAAAUUUGAGUGUUGAAUCCAAAACAAUCAAAAUGGUUAAAUGUCGUAGUAAGGCUGAUGUGUGAAUGUGUGGCUAAGAUGUCGCUUAGUAACUGGAAAGUCACUCCACUUUUAGCCAUGGUAGCUUAUUUUUUGUCUCCUUUCUUCUUCUUUUUGCGAUCAGAUCCUGCUAUCCUUUAUACAAUAAAAAGCACUCAGUCACUUUGUGUCCAUUUUGUAUAUAGUUCUUUUCAUGCUAGUUCUAGUGACAUGACAUGCAUGUGGAAUUUUUGGCUAGAUCUUAGAAAACUAAUUUAGUUUUGAAUUUGAUAAGUGAGAAAGAGACACUUUUGAAGAUGAAUAGAGACAUAAAAAAUUUAAAAAAAUAAGCAUGAUCCAAGUUUACAUGGAACUAAAGCAGUCAUGCUCAUGGAAGUUAAGGAUCUCUACCUUUUGAAUCAUUUGAGAAGAUCGAACUUAAGGUUGAUCGGACGGGUUGAAAUUUGUUUAGCUCUAAGAGAAAGAAAGUGUUUUUCAAAAGAAGGUGUAUUCCAGACAACUUAAAAGGGAUUAGUUAGUGGCAAAAUGCAUCUUCUUCAUCAAGAUAAAAUCCAAGAAAAAGUCGCCCGAAUUGACAAGGGGCAUUCACUGCGAGGAAAGCAUUGCCCAUACAACUUUACACUGAAAAAAACCCAAAAAGCAACAUGUCUAUCAAUGUCAUGUUGGCAUUCUCAAGGUUAGGAUGAUCCUUUGUUAUACCCUUUGUUACCCCUUUUGAGCCUAUGUUAUUUUCUUUGAUGAUCCUCUUUUGGAAUAAAAUCUAGAGUCCAAAAAAAUGAAUGAAAAAAUAACAAUAAAAGUCCAUGCCCUAACAGUACAAACUGGGGCAGCUUUUAGAAAGUUCUAAGUGAAAAAAAAGAAGAAGAAAAUAAUUGUCAAAGGUCCAUGCCCUCAAAAAUAGAAGCUGGGGCAACUUGUUUUGAAAAAAAAAACAGAAAGAAAGAUGAAAAAAAGUUAGGUCAGAUGUUUGAACUACAUUAGACCUGAUUCCUUUAAAAAAGGAUACGUAGGCAGCCUCACGGUUCGGUCUAACCAAAUAAUAAUAAAAAAAAAGAAAAAAAAUUCCAAAAAUCCUCAGUAUCUGAAACUGUGGCAAAGAUUUUAUUUUACUUUUGAAAGAGUCGAUUUCAAGAGUAGUAAGUCUACAACCAUUCCUUUUGAAUCUACUUUGAGCCUUCAUGCCAUCCUUUCUUUCCAACCCUAUCCAAAAACCUUCCAAAUAAAGACCUCCCAAUAUGCUUUCAAGAAUGCCGAGAGACGCAUGCAAUGAGCAGCAUUUGUCACACAUCAUAGAACACUAUCAAAUUGCUCAAGAAAGCAACAGAAAAAAUAGAUAAAGAAAAAAUGAGAGAGUAUUGCUAGUGAAAACCUUCACGGGCACUGUAAGACGAUGGUAAGCAGAAAUGAACAAAUGAGAGAGACUUAUUGGUGUAAACCCCUUGGGGUACCACUAGUCUAAAGUGAGUCAUGAAGUUGAUGCAAAGGAUUGGCACGAACAAGCCCGACUUCAAAGGUUAUAAGAAUGGUAAAAGGGAAGAUUGGAUUAGUUUGGUAGAUAGGCCGUUAAGUCCAAAAUGCAUGUCAUGAUAAUUAAUGCUAGUUAUUAAAAAAAACUUUUUCUUCUGCCCGACAGGGGCAUUUCCUGUUAAUACUUGUUUGUUUGCAUCAUUGUGUCCUUCACCCUGAGUCCGUCCUUGUCAAAACAAGCAAGAAAAGAUUUCAUAAUCUGCUACCAGCUUUUCAGUUGCAUAAAGUAAAUUUGGCCAGCACGCUCAGUUGUUACUGUCAAUGGACCUUGAGGAUUCAUGCAAAAGCUUCCCAAAAAAACUCUUUUCAGCCUACAGGGCGCAAACAAAGAUAACUAGUGAUUCUCUCUGACAAACAGAUUGCUCAAAAAGUAAGAAGUCAUUCAAGAUAUCAGAAAAGAUCACCUAAGAAAAGAUCUCCAAUUGGGAUAAGGCUGAUUGAGCCACAAACACAAAUGGUAUUGGGUGUGAAACAAUUAGGGUUGAUACAGAGCAAAAGUCUCUUGAAACCAACUCAAGCUGAUUGAGCAGAAGCUAAGCUACCCAAGACUCAAGGCCACAAACCGACCACCAUUUUCAAAAUUGACAAAUUUUUCUUUGUGUAAAACAGCAACAAAGCAGUGCAAGGAAAGUGGUUCAAAAAAAAAGAAAAAAAAACAAUAAAAAAGAGAAGAAAAAGAAAAGAAGAGAAGAGCCGACAAAGGAAAGUUUCUCAAAUCUUUGCCUUUAUUUGUCUUGCUAUUGUGCAUAAAAUCUUGCUAUUUAUCUUCACUUUUUUUCUCCUAGGAUAAAAAGUCCUAAUCUGAUGGAUUUUCUCCCAAUAAAAAUGUUAGUCUGAUGAAUUUUUCUCCUAAGAUAACAAAAAAAGGGACCUAGUCUGAUGAACUUUCUCCUAGGUUCGAAAUCUUAGUCUGAUGAAUCUUUCUCCUAAGAUAAAAGACCUAGUCUGAUGAACUUUCUCCUAGGAUAGAAAUCAUAAUCUGAUGAAUUUUUCUCCUAAGAUACCAAAAAAAUAAAGAAAAAAGACCUAGUCUAAUGAACUUUCUCCUAGGAUCAAAAUCUUAGUCUGAUGAAUCUUUCCCCUAAGAUAGAAAACCUAGUCUGAUGAAUCUUCUCCUAGGAUAAGAAUUUUUUUAAAAAAAAAAGGGGGGGGGGGUCUCGAUUUGAAAAAAGGGUCAAUUUUUAGUUUCCUUAAUUAUUAAUAUUUAGUUUUCUUGAAAUCAGGGGUCCCUCUUGGAGAAUAGGGCCAGUUUUUAUUUUAGUCAAGCUUAGUUUAUAGUUUUCCGCAAGCUCAAUCUUACAUUUAGGAGACGCACUUCCUAGUUUGGGUCAUUCAGGUUUUUUCAGUAGACGCAUUUGCUAGUUGAAAUUUUCUUGGUUUUACUCAUAGGAUAUGCACAUCCUAGUCGAGUCUUCAAUUGCAUCCUUCAUCAAUAGCAUAGGCGAUUUAUAGAUCUGCUAACAACUCACAAAUCUUCCUAGUGCAAAUUAGGGCAGAAAAGUUUCUUUUAUUUUGUUUGUUUUGCUGUAGUAGCAGGCGCCCACAUGGAGAACGAGGGAAGUCAUUUCAGAAGUCAAUUCAAGUUAUAAGUAGCGGAAGCUCGCCUAAACCGGAUGCAGAUCGUAGCUUCGACGGAACCUUACUCGACUCUCGAACUCAUCACUCCAUCAUUCUCUAAACUACACGUGGCCUGAUUCCUUUAUAGCCAAGGAUAUGUAGGUAGCUCAGAUACCAUGACUCGGUCACAUUCUCCUUUAUUUUAGUUUUUGGUCUCUCUAAAUAAGGGUCGGGUCAAACCUGUCUUGUCGUUCUUUGUCUGAAAACUCUUCGUGUUUCCAGUCAAAUAGAGGCAACUGUUGUAAUGACCCGACCGGUCAUUUUGAGCUCUAGCACGUCGUUUAAUGGUUUGAGGCCAUGAACAUCUUCACUUCAGGUAUUAUGCCUUGUACGCAAGGUCGGAGUUGAAUUCUGGGAAGUUCGUAGUAGAUUUGAAAAGAGAAUUCUCAUUUCGGAAACUUUAAGUUGAAAAAAUUGACUAAGAUUGGAUUUUUUAGUAAACGACCUUGGAAUCGGGAUUAAAAAGUUCUAAAAGGUUCUUAUGAUAAUUUUGGACUUGGGCGUAUGUCCGGAUCGGGUUUUGGAAGACCUGGGAACAUUUCGGCACCUAUUGUGGAAGUUAGCACUUUUGGAAGGAUUUCAUAAGUUUGGGUUAAAGUUCCUUUCAAUGUUAUCAAUGUCCGUUUGGGAUUUCGAGUUUGGGAAUAGAUCCAUAUGGUUCUUCUGGUAUUGGGAGUGUGAUUGGAAGUGAAUUCGGAGGUCCGUAGGUCAUUUUGGAGUGAUUUGGCUAAAGAUAGAAAUUUGAAGGUUUUUGAGGAGUUUGACCGGAAGUGGACUUUUUGAUAUCGGGUUUGGAAUCCGAUUUAGGAAGUUGGAGUAGGUCUGUAAUGUCAAGUAUGACUUGUGCGCAAAAUUUGAGGUCAAUCAGACGUGAUUUGAUAGGUUUAAGCAACGAAAGUAGAAGUUUGAAAUUUUAAAGUUCAUUAAGCUUGAAUUGGAGUGCGAUUCAUGAUUUCGACGUUGUUUGAUGUGAUUUGAGACCUCGAGCGAGUUCGUAUCAUGUUUUGGGACAUGUUUGGUAUAAUUGGUUAAGGUCACGAGGGCCUCGGGUGGAUUUCGGAAGGUUAACGGAAUGGAUUUCGGACAAAGAAAGCUGCUGAAAUUCUGUUGCAGAAGUUGUUCGCCAGAAAAUUUCUGAUGCGAGGAGUCGAUUUUGGAAGCUCAUAUCUUGCCAUAUAUAAGGAAUCUGAAAAUUUGCAAAACAUCGAAGUAGUAGCCCUUGUUUUCUUGUUUCUAGAAAGAUAAACCAUUCAUCAUUUGGAUAUUUGUACAGAAUUUUAUGAUAAUUGAAUGAAGGUUGGUAAAGCUAUUUUGCAAUUUCCCCAGAAAUUUUUGAUGCGAGGAGCCUAUUUUGGAAGCUUAUAUGUCGAAAUCUAUAAGGAAUCUGAAAAUUUACAAAACUUGAAAGUUGUAUAUCUUUGAUUCUAGUUUCGAAAAAGUUAAACUAUUCAUCAUUUGGACAUUUGUACAUAAAGUUAUGGUCCAUUAACUUAAAGCUAGUAGUAGUUCAUUUUUUGCCCGAAAAUCAGGCAAAGUCACAUUCAUACAUGCGACUUGCCUAGGCAGAAUGCCUAAAUACAGGAGUCAGCCAUUUUUUACUCAUUUUUUAUUUUUGAGUCUCGGAUUUGGGAGAUUUUUGGAGCUUUUGGAAGAGGGUUUUCACCCAGCACUUUGAGAUAAGUAAUUUCUAUACAACAUGAGUUUAAUACAUAGAUUAUGAAUAGAUUAACAUGUAAAAAUUGGUGAACUCAAGAGUUUAGAUGAAAACCUAGGUUUUAUAUAAAAAUGAGAUUUGACCACGAAAAUGAUUAUGAAAUUUGGUAAUAAUCAUAUAUUUGACUUCAUAAGGUUAUGGGUAACAACUUUCUUCGAAAAUUUUCAAAAUCUUGAUAUGCGGGCCCGGAGGUGAAUUUUAGGAAUCUUACAUUUAGGGUUGGGUAAUCACCUCAAUAGUCGAAAUAUGAAUUUUUGAACAUUUAUUGAUUAGUUUAUGCACUAUUUCAUUGGUUUUGGAUUGUUCUGCACCGAAUUGAGGGUUUGAGCAUAAUCUUGGACAGGAAAGCGGGCUUCGAAGUGAGGUGAGUCUACUUUCUAACCUUGUAAGAGGGAAUUGUCUACAUAGGUGAAUUUAUUGGAUAUGUUCUCCUAUUUGUGGGGGCUACGUACGCACAAGGUGACGAGAGUCCGUGCAUAGCUACUAUUAUGCAUAAGUCCGGGUAGUCUAGGACUAAAUAACAUGCUCUACUUGCAAUAUUUUGAAUCUGGUUGUCGAUUUAAAAUACUUAAAUCAUAUUGAAUUGGUAAAUAAAUUUCUAAAGGAAUUAAACAUCAUUUUCUUGACCGUUAAAGAGAAUUGCUAUUUCUUUGGGUAAUUGUUUUUCCCAGAUGAAGUCUGGAUUGACUGUUUGAAUAUGAGUUUCAAUGUGUACCUGCUUUGCAUGUAUGAUUCGCGAAAGGGCUGAUUGUUUAUUUAUAUUUGAUCGCGUCGCAUGUAUGAUUCGCGAGCGGGGUAAUAGAUGCAUCUAUGGUUCACGCCAUUCGACCCUCUGGCAGAGCACAAUUUAAAUGUUUGUUGGAUCGGGUCGUACGACCUCGACAUGAUUUGCGCAUGAUUGUAUUGCUUGCCUUGAAAUUCAUAAAUGUUAAUAUUUAUUUCUCCCUGGCCUGAGAUAAAUGUAUAAAUGAUGAAAAUAAAUUUGGGAAUUUCCUAUAAACGAAAGAAUUGUUUACUUGCCUCAUGUUAUUUGAGUUACCGUCAUUUUUAUGAAAAUCCUCGAUUUAUGAAAUUAUUGUUAUAUUAUCAUUGGACCACUAGUAAGUAUUGAAGUCGACCUCUCGUCUCUACUUCUUUGAGAUUAGACGGGAUGCUUACUAACUACACGUUGUUUAUGUACUCAUGCUACACUUGUUGUGCAUUUUUGUUGCACAGGCAUAUGUAUCUCUAACGACCUAAUGGGCAUAGUAACAUGGAUGAUACGGAGACUUAGGCGAGCUGCAUCUCUCGAGGCGACCCGUAGCUAGCAUAGUCUCUUUUAGUGUUUUGUAUUUACUUCCUGUCCAAAUCUGUAUUCCGAACAGUUAUUGUACUUUAUUUGAUUUCCUAGUGAUUGUUCAUGCACUUGUGACACUGGGAUCUAGGAUGAUUAUGAGAUAUUUAAUAUUAAAAGUUGUAAACAUUUUUAUUUAUUCAGUGAUGAUUACCUUUUUACUAGUUGAAUUAAAGGAAAUUAUGGUUCCUAAAUUAUUAAAAUGAGAGUUUAAUUAAUUACUCAAUGUUGGCUUACCUGACCGAGGUGUCUGGCGCCAUCACGACCUUUGAUGGAUUUUGGGUCAUGACAACAUGGUAUCAGAGCACUAGGUUCCCUUAGGUACGAGUCAUGAGUGAGUCUAGUAGAGUCUUGCGGAUCGGUAUAAAGACAUUUGUACUUAUCUUCAAGAGGCUGCAGGGCUAUUAAGAGCACUUCCCUUCUUGAUUCCUCAUCAUGCAGUUUGAUUCCUUUGAGGCUUAUGUCCCUAUUUCCUUCCUACUCAAUCAUAUGCGACGCGAAGCGCAUAUAAAUUGGGAAUUGAGGAAUUGUAAUAGUACUAUAGAUGUGGUGCGGGAUAUUUCUCCCAGUGUAGUUGUUUGGGCUGUUAUCGUCACCUUGUAGAAGGUCGUUCUGUCGUUUCAGCUUAGUAUCAAUAUUACCUAAGGUUUCGAGAUUUGGCAUAGAUGUUAUGACGAUUCGUGCAUUGCUAUCGCCUAGUAUUGAUGUGAUGGUAGGAUAUUUACCAAUAUGUUGGGGCAGUGAAUGACUUGAAAGGAGGCCUACUCAGUACAUGAUUCAGAGACUUGGUAUUUCAUUCCCGGGAGAGGAAAGGCAACCAGACUAUAAUUGUUCAAGAUUGAGUCAAUGUUUCUAAUGUCAACGACUCGAGAAAACAUGAUCUUCGGAAAAGUAUAAAGUUAGUAGCAGUCUAUUGGUUCAAGUGCUACAGAGAUAUAUAUUGAUCUAAGGCAAGAACUGGGCAACAAAGGAUGAGGAAGGAUAUGUGGAAAGUGUCAUGCAGUGGUUAAAUAACUAGAAGUCUAGGUGUAAGAAGCAGAAGCCGAGUAGUUUCUUAAAGAAGUGAGUUUGCCCAAAGUGGGAGUGGCAGAAUAACAUAUGGGUUCAGUGUCAAGAUAACUACACUCCUUAAGGAAAAGUGAGAGUGGUUUGGGAAAUUUAGUGGAUGGUGAUUCGGUCUACGAGAGUAAUUUGAAAUAUUGGCUAGCAUACUACAGGCGAUUUGACAUGGCGAAAAGGAGAUGCUUGAUAUGAAGAAGGAUAAAACAUAACUUUGAAAUAGGGAGAUAUUUUCAUGUAUUUUAGUGGAUGUCCACGAGGAAUGAACGGAUUCGUUUAGCUAGUGAAUGAGUAUAGGCUCAGUAUGGGUUAUUCAUUUCGUAGUAAUGGUGCAUUGCAGCGUUAUUGGAAGAUGACGACAUAAAAUUUCUACAAUAGGUUAUCUAUUGUGAGUAGAUCAGCGGUGGCGUGGUAGGCGAAACUUCUGCAAAGAAUCCUACUAGCUAUCUAGUAAGAAGUUGAAUAUGUGAAUAUUACUAGAGAUUCAGAGUGUUCAUGAAAUGCUAAUGGAAGGAUUUCGAGGAAUUUGGUGGCGGAUUGCGCAAGGUUAUGUCAAUGGGAGAUAAAGAAUCUUAGCGGGUUCUGGAGUUGUGUAAUAGUGGCUUCAAGUUAAGUGAGAGAGUCCCACCGCCUACGGUUGGAUUGCAUGGUUGUCUAUUCGUGAGAUUUCAGGUUAUUAGCAUAUGGAUGGGUUAUUUCAGCUAAGGGAAAGGAACAUAAGAGGUAAUUUGAGCAAAGGAAUUGUAAAAGGUGUGCUAUAGUUGGCCUUAUUGACUUAUGUUCAGACUUGGGGAAGGGUACAUGAUAUAUGCCUUGUGUAGAUACGGGUUUCAAGGAAAGUGAUUUGGCCAGGUGCUUCGUCGAGAGGGUGUUCAUGUGCUAGAAGAUUCAUGGAGUUGAUUAUAUUCGGGACCAAGUUAGACUGGGUGGCUCUCAGCAAUGGUCCUAGUGAAUUCAACGGAUUUAAAAAUGCGGAGCCUAAGGAUUCAAGCCCGCAGUAUGGUUAAGAAUCGAGCUUUUGUAGCAGAUUAUGAUAAGAGGCUCAGAAUGAUCUAUGAUAUUUUUGACUUGCACUGUAUUAUCGGGAGGAAAAAAGGAAAAAAAAUUCAGAUUAAUAGAGGGACUAUUAGAAUGGGUGCAUCAGUUGAAGAUGCGAAUGUGCGUGCAAGGAGGGUAUGAAGUGGUUCAUGGGUUUGGAGACAAUGUGGUCUCAUGGAAUGGGGUCACUUAAGAUGAGUGCGGAUUUAGGUUGGUGAUGUAAGGAAUGGAGCUAAUAUUAUCUCCAAGGAAAGUUAAGGAUGAAUUAGAGGAAGUUAGAUUGGCCAGCCAUGGUUGAAUUGGCAUAGUGGUGGCGGUGCUCGCGAGACUCAAUAGCCGCUGUAAUAGAUUAUAUUUGGAAAUAUUCAAGUAUUAUGGAAUGUUAUGUGUAGGAAUAUCCCGGAAGGGUUAUGGCAAUUUAGACCACUACUUGAGGAUUUGAAUGUUCUAAGGUUAUGAGAAGUUACUCGCAUGUUGCUAUGGUCCUCUUGGAAUGAGUUAAGUAUAAAGUUUCCAGGUGAAGAAGUGUUUACCAUAUUAGUGGUUUAGGAGUUAUGAUGAAGAUCUUGUGCUAUCGCAUAUUGGCAUGUUGGGUGCAGUGAGUGGUAUGGAAUUUGAAAGUGAGGAUCAAGGUUGCGGUUCAUUGUUGACAAGGAUGUCACGAGCUCGGAUAAGCAGGAAAGGGAUUUGAAUGUUUAGAGUAAGUUGGCAUUGUCUUCAAUGUCGCAUGGGAUCGGUGUUUUGUGAAAAAGGCUUUGCAUCCUGAUUAAGGAUUCUUGAUCUCUUUUUAGCGUUAGUGCGGCCAGUGGUAUGGAUGUACAAACCUAUAUCUGUUACGGAAGGUCGUGGGAGCGUGCCCCACAGAAACGUUGUAUAAGUGUGGCAUGUAGUCACUUGCUUGAUUGAAAAAUUAAACCUAGUAUAAAAAUUGUGGUGAUAUCGUUAAUUUGAGAAUUGAUGCCUGGAGGGCAUUAGAUUUAUUGGGUUGUGGACUGUGGAGGAUUACUCCGGUUAUGAUGGUUGUUCUUGUGUGUUAUGGGAAAAAGGGGGGGAAAGAUUAUGGACCUAGUUCGGUACGAUCAAAAUAGGCUUGAGGCCUGUGAAUGGAUUUAUGUAUGAAUAUGGGCUUUACAUCAGGCCGGAUGUGUUCAUUUCAGCAUAGUGCUCCUUAUGGAGGAGUAUUUGGACGUUGGAUGUUAUUUGGUCGUCGGCUAUUUCAUGUAAUGCUAUAUUGAGUCGUGCAAGUUGUGAACGACUCGAUAAUUUUCUUAUGUGUUGAGGUUCCGUGUAGCGAUGGUAUUAUGUGAGCAGGAUGACUCUUUAGUUUUAGAAUAUAUAUCACACCUCAGUUUUGCUUGAGUUUGUUAGCUUAUGGCACUAUAUGUCUCCCCAAGGAUGGUAUUAUGCACUUAGAGUGCUUGUGACCAAUAUUCGGUAUUUUGUUGUAAUGAGCAAUUUAGCUCGGUGUGUAUCUCCUUAUGUGAAUUUUAUGUGUGGAUCGGAUGGUACGCCGACAUGAGUAUGUUGUUUGGAUCGGGUUGCAUGCCGCAACAGUGUGAUGUUAAGUACAGUUCCCUAUACCUAUUUUUGUGUGUUUUGUUUUCCAUAUUCUGAGGAAAGUUUAUAUCAGUUGCGUGAGUUGAGUAGUCCCUUCCUAAGAUUAUUUUCCUUAUGUAUCACAUUAGAGCUUGUAGCCUAUUGGCACGUUACGACAUCAUAUGUGACUUUUAAUCAUGACCGCGGUGGCUAUUGCCUGAGCAGCUUAUACUGGGUGAGACGAGAUUAUUGGAUCUAAGAUCAGCGUGGUCAGAUUAUAUGAUGCAUAUUAAAGAACAAAGAUCAUUAUUUGGUUUAGAAUGAGAUAAUGGUUCUUGUUAGAAGUAGAGACUCAAUGAUUUGUUGACUUGGCAGUUGGUUAUAAAUUUAUACACAUCUCUUCUGUUGUGGCGGUAUUGCAAGAGCUAGAACAAGACUUAUAUAUAUAUCAUAAGGUGCGUUGUGAGCAUCAUAUUUGGGGAAUGUUGGUUAUUAUGAUCAAAGAAUGUUAUUAUGGUCCUAUGAGUGAUAUGGUGCAUGGUGAGAAUUCAGCAAAGGUAUGCAGUCAUGUUCUGGUACCUCGUGUAGUGAUUGACACGGUGUUCAUAUAUUAGAAGCAGUCCUGACGCAGAAUUUCAGAUGUUGGAAUUAGGCUCUAAGCUUAUUUGCUUGAAUAAAAUGGAAUAUCUUCAGAAUUGAUCGAGCUAAUGUGCUUAACUGGGUUGUAGAAGCACGGGUAGGUGCACGAUGUGUUAAACAGUGAUUUCGGACAACUCCAACGUAGUUCUUAGCACGUUCGAGGGAGAACAUAUGUUUAAGUUGGGAGAGAAUGUAAUGAUCUGACCGGUCGUUUUGAGCUCUAGCACGUCGUUCAGUGAUUUGAGGCCAUGAGCAGCUUCACUUCAGGUAUUAUGACUUGUACGCAUGGUCGGAGUUGAAUUCCGGGAAGUUCAGAGUUGAUUUGGAGAGAGAAUUCUCAUUUCAGAAGCUUUAAGUUGAAAGAAUUGACUAAGAUUGGAUUUUUAAGUAAAUGACCUCGAAAUCGUGAUUCGAAGGUUCCAGCAGGUUCGUAUGACAAUUUCAGACUUGGGAGUAUGUUCGGAUCGGGUUUUGGAAGACCCGGGAAUGUUUCGGCACCUAUUGUGGAAGUUAGCACUUUUGGAAAGAUUUCAUAAGUUUGGGUUCAAGUUCCUUUCAGUGUUAUCAAUGUUCGUUUGGGAUUCUGAGUCAGGGGAUAGCUCCGUAGGCGCUUCUGGUAUUCAAAGCGCGAUCGGAAGUGAAUUCGGAGGUUCGUAAGUCAUUUUGGAGUGAUUUGCCUAAAGAUAGAAAUUUGAAGGUUUUUGAGGAGUUUGACCGGAAGUGGACUUUUUGAUAUCGGGGUUGGAUUCUGAUUUCGAAAGUUGGAGUAGGUCUGUAAUGUCAAGUAUGACUUGUGCACAAAAUUUGAGGUCAAUCGGACAUGAUUUGAUAGGUUUAAGCAACGAAAGUCGAAGUUUGAAAUUUUAAAGUUCAUUAAGCUUGAAUUGGAGUGUGAUUCAUGAUUUCGACGUUGUUUGAUGUGAUUUGAGACCUUGAGCGAGUUCAUAUCAUGUUUUGGAUCAUGUUUGGUAUAAUUGGUUAAGGUCCCGAGGGCCUCUGGUGGAUUUUGAAAGGUUAACGGAAUGGAUUUCGGACAAAGAAAGCUGCUGAAAUUCUGUUGCAGAAGCUGUUCGCCAGAAACUUUCUGAUGCGAGGAGUCGAUUUUGGAAGCUCAUAUUUUGCCAUAUAUAAGGAAUCUGAAAAUUUGCAAAACAUCAAAGUUGUUUUCCUUGCAUUCUAGUUUCCAAAAAUAAACCAUUCAUCAUUUGGUUAUUUGUACAGAAUGGUAUAAUCAAUUGAAUGAAGGCUGGUAAAGCUUUUUUACAAUUUCCCCAGAAAUUUUUUAUGCGAGGAGCCUUUUUUGGAAGCAUAUAUCCCGAAAUCUAUAAGAAAUUUGAAAAUUUGCAACACAAGAAAGUUGUAGAUAUUUGAUUCUAGUUUCCAGUAAAUUAAACCAUGCAUCAUUCAGACAUUUAUACAUAAGGUUAUGGUUCGUUAAUAGUUCAUUUUUUGCCCAAAAAUCAGGCAAAGUCGAAUUUCAUACAUGCGACUUGCCUAGGCAGGAUGCCUAAAUACGGUAGUCAGCCAUUUUUUACUCAUUUUUGAGUUUUGAGUCUCGGAUUUGGGAUAUUUUUGGAGCUUUUGAAAGAGGGUUUCACCCAGUACUUUGAGCUAAGUAAUUUCUAUACAGCAUGGGUUUAAUACAUAGAUUAUGGAUAUAUUAACAUGUAAAAAUUAGUGAAAUCAAGGGUUUAUAUGAAAACCUAGGUUUUGUAUAAAAAUGAUAUUUGACCACGAAAAUGGUUAUGAAAUUUGGUAAUAAUCAUAUAUUUGACUUCAUAAGGUUAUGGGUAACAACUUUCUUCGAAAAUAUUCGAAAUCCGGGCACGUGGGCCUGGGAGUGAAUUUUAGGAAUCUUACAUUUAGGGUUGGAUAAUCACCUUAAUAGUUGGAAUAUGAAUUUUGAACAUGUACUGAUUAGUUUAUACACUAUUUCAUUAGUUUUGGAUUGUUCCGCACCAAAUUGAGGGUUUGAGGAUAAUCUUGGACAGGAAAGGGGGCUUCGGAGCGAGGUGAAUCUCCUUUCUAACCUUGUAAGAGGGAAUUGUCAACAUAGGUGAAUUAAUUGGAUAUGUGCUCCUAUUUGUGGGGGUUACAUACACACAAGGUGACGAGAGUCCGUGCGUAGCUACUAUUAUGCAUAAGUCUGGGUAGUCUAGGAACCAGUAGCAUGCUCUACUUGUAAUAUAUGGAAUCUUGUUGUCGAUUUAAAAUACUUAAAUCAUAUUGAAUUGGUAAAUAAAUUUCUAAAGGAAUUAAACAUCAUUUCUUAACCAUUAAAGAGAAUUGCUAUUUCUUUGGGUAAUUGUUUUUCCCUGAUGAAGUCUUGAUUGACUAUUUGAAUGCGUGUUUCUAUGUGUACCUGCGUCGCAUGUAUGAUUUGCGAGUGGGGUGAGUUUUUAUUUAUAUUUGACCACAUCGCAUGUAUGAUUCGCGAGCGGGGUAAUAGAUGCAUCUAUGGUUCGCGCCAUUCGACCCUCUGGCAGUGCACAAUUUAAAUAUUUGUUGGAUCGGGCCAUACGACCUCGACAUGAUUUAUGCAUGCUUAUAUUGCUUGGAUUGAAAUUCAUAGAUGUUAAUAUUUAUUUCUCCCUGUCCUGAGAUAAAUGCAUAAAUGAUAAAAAUAAAUUUGGGAAUUUCCUAUAAAUGAAAGAAUUGUUUACUUGCCUCAUGCUAUUUGAAGUUAUAGUCAAUUUUAUGAAAAUCCUCGAUUUAUAAAAUUAUUGGUGUAUUAUAAUUGGACCACUAGUAAGUAUCGAAGUCGACUUCUCGUCUCUACUUCUUCGAGAUUAGACGGGAUACUUACUGAAUACACGUUGUUUUUGUACUCAUGCUACACUUGUUGUGUAGUUUUGUUGCACAGGCACAUGUACCUCUAACGGCCUAAUGGGCGUAGAAGCAUGGAUGAUACGGAGACUUAGGUGAGCUGCAUCUCUCGAGGCGACCCAUAGCCAACAUAGUCUCUUUCAGUGUAUUGUAUUUAUUUCCUGUCCAAAUCUGUAUUGCGGGCAGUUAUUGUACUUCAUUUGAUUUCCUAGUGAUUGUUCAUGCACUUAUGACACUGGGAUGUGGAAUGAUUAUGGGAUAUUUAAUAUUAAAAGUUGUAAAUAUUUUUAUUUAUUCAGUGAUGAUUACCUUUUUACUAGUUGAAUUAAAGGAAAUUAUAGUUCCUAAAAUAUUAAAAUGAGAGUUUAAUUAAUUACUCAAUGUUGGCUUGCCUGACCGAGGUGUCCGGUGCCAUCACGGCCUUCGAUGGAUUUUGGGUCGUGACAGCUGUAGAUAUGUAAUUUUUGACCCUCACCAAAAUUUUACAUUUUUAGCAUUUAAAUAGUUAGUUUAGGUCUAAUAUCGCUAUUUUAACUAGUUUUGACCCUUUUACUUUAUUUUAUCACAAAAAUGAAAAUUACAAAAAUAUUUGCUCUUGUUUAGCUAAUUGAUAUUUUACUUAGUUACUUUUAGUUUAUCUACCUUUCUUAAAAUUAAAAAAUAUAUACAAAAACAAUUUCACUUUUAGUAUUUAGUUUUAUUCUAGUAAUUUAUUUUAAUUAGGAAUGGUUUCACAAUUUUAUAGUUAUUAUUUUAGGAAUUAAUGUUUUUAGUCUAGUAGAGUUAAAGGGCCACUUUAAAGGUAAAUUUUGGCCAAAACUCGGCCCAAUUCGAAUCUAGCCCAUAAAUCCAAGCUCAUUUACCCAUUCCCCUCUUAUAUCUUAAUUAAAAAAAUAACCCUAGUCAAAAAGACCCAUGAGCCGUUUCUAUCAUCUUAAAUACCUUACACACCCUAAGCUUCCUCUUCAUCACAAAAAACACCAUGGCAGCAACUCCUUCUCCAAAAAAACCAUCAGCCGCAACACACAAAAACCUAGAGACAACCACCUCUCCUAACUCAUGUACACAUCUGCCACACCCCUACUUCCUUGGACUACGCCGGUGACCACUCUCAAACUCCCCAUAGCGAUCAGAUCUAGAUGAUUUGACUUGAAAGCUCCAUGUUUGGCCAAACUCUGACGAUCUCUCUUUAUUCUAUGCCGCAGUUGCCUCAUUUAUUUGCACCACUGCUCGUCGCUGUGGAAAUAGCAACGAGUGUGUGCGAUUUUCUGAUUUUCGACGGAAUUUCAGAUCCGGCUGGUUUUUUUUACUUUCCGGCGAGUUUUGAGGCUGAAGAGUCGAGGUAUGUCUGUGUUUCAUCAACUUCCGGCAAGCUCUAAAGUCGAAGUUCCAUUGGUCUUGGUCGCGUCCCCAUCCGAUUCUGGAGCUGUAAAUCAGCUAAGCUCAGAUUCAUUUUUGGAGAGGCUUGUUUUUUGUUUGUUUUGGUUCUACUAUAAUCAGGUAUUACUUUUGACUAGUAUGAUGCAAAUAUUAUGUUCCGUUGAAUGAAGAUUAUAUGAGCUCUCCUCUAUUUAAAUUUGUUUCAAAUUCUAGAUUUGUGUAGAUAUUUACCUUGCUUAAAUGCUAUAUUGCUAUUUGAAAUGUCUAUUCAUGGUGUGAGAUGCCUAUCAAGAAUUUUAUUUAUUAAAUUAUUGUUAAGAUGAAAAGGAAUCACGUUGGCAGUUGGUAAAAAUGUUGUAUCACUUUGCUUGGACAUGAUGUGUAAAUUAUGUCAGUAAUGAUUCUACCAAAUGAAGGUUUAGGCUCAUGAGGAUCUGAUUUGUUAAGUUGGUUUGCCUUGUUUAAAGCAUCAAUCUGUUGUAGUUAGUUCGAUCAGCUAUGUCUUCUAUGGCUCUGUUGAGGUUGGACAAGUUCACCAAGAUUUUUCUGGUUCAUUAUAGUAGGGCAGCUUCUGAGGACCCACGGGAUUAUCUUGACCACUGCCAUGAGAUGUUGCGGAACAUGGGGAUAGUAGAGACCAAUUAGGUCAACUUUGCUGUAUUCCAGAUGUUAGGGCCCGCCAAGAGAUGGUGAAAUGAUUUUGUGUUGACUAGACCAACUAGGUCGCAUGCCUUGACUUGGGACCAGUUCUCUCAGCUAUUUCUCGAGAAGUUCCUUCCUAUCAUUUAGAGAGAGGACUAUCGCAGGCGGUUCAGGCAUCUUCACUAGGGUUUUGUGACUGUCACUUAGUACGAGACUAGGUUUGUUGAUUUGGCCCGUCAUGCUCUUCUUAUACUUCCUACCGAGAGAGAGAGAGAUAGAGAGAGAGAGAGGAGGAGGUUUAUUAAGGGACUCACUCAGCCUAUCAGAUUGCAGAUGGCUAAGGAGGCAAGGAGCGAGAUUUCUUUCCAGGAUGCGGCCAGUGUGGCCAGGCGAGUUGAGAUUCUUUUGGUAGAGGCUGUUCUCCCAAGCCGUUUCAUUCAGCACUUCAGGCUUUUCACGGUGUUUCAGGUGGUCAUAGCUCUCAUAUGCAGUAUUCCGAUCAGUUAGCCUACAGUGUACCACCAGCUCCUAUCAGUGCACCUCCACUCUAGGGUUUUCAGGGUGGUUACCCAAGCCGUCAAGGUUAGUUUCAGUGUCAGCAGUCUCAACAGUCAAGGUUUUGUUAUACUUGUGGUGAUCUGAGGCACGGUGAUAGAUUAUUCCCUCGAGCAUCGAGUAGUUCUCAACAUUAGGGUUAUCAUGCCAUGGUUCUGGCACCAGGUGUUCCACCUCCUGCUCAGCCAGCUAGGGUAGGGGUCAUAAAGCUAGAGGUAGAGGUCGAGGUAUUAGAGGUGGAGGUCAGGCCACGAGAGGUGAAGGCCAGCCAACAGGAGGUCGUCCUAGGAAGUAGUUCAGAGUGGUGGGCCCCAGACCCGAUGUUAUGCUUUCCCAUCCAGGCCUAAGGCUGAGUCAUCCGAUGUUAUUGUCACAUGUACUAUUUUAGUUUGCAGUAGAGAUUCUUCAGUUCUACUAUGUGUCAUCUUAUUUUGCUACAUAUUUGGUUGUGCCUUGUUAUUCUUUGAGUGCUCUUGUAUAUGUGUCCACACCGGUGGGUGAUUCUAUUAUUGUAGAUCGUGUUUGUCGCUCGUGUGAGGUUAUUAUUGAGGGACUUGAGACUAGCGUAGAUCUUCUACUUCUCGAUAUUGUUGAUUUUGAUGUCAUUUUGGGGAUGGAUUGGCUGUCACCUUACCAUGAUAUAUUGCACGGUCACGCUAAGACCGUGACCUUAGCCUUGCCGGUGUUGCCUCAAUUGAAGUGGAUAGGGACUCCUAGUCAUUCUACCAGUAAUGUUAUCUCUUAUAUGAAGGCUCGGCGUAUGGUUGAGAAAGGGUGUUGGCUUAUUUGGCUUAUGUUUGUGAUUCUAGUGCGGAGGUUCCUUCCAUGGAAUCUGUAAUAGUUGUUCAUGAGUUUCCAGAGGCAUUUCCUAUAGAACUUCCGGGGAUGCCACCCAACAGGGAUAUUGACUUUUGCAUUGAUUUGGCUCAGGGCACUUAGCCCAUUUCUAUUCCGACGUACUACGCUGCCCCGCCAGAGUUGAAAGAAUUAAAGGAGAAGUUGUAAGAUUUGAUAGAUAAGGGGUUUAUUAGACCUAGUGUGUCGCCCUAUGGUGUGCCGGUGUUGUUCAUAAAGAAUAAGGAUGGGUCGAUGAGGAUGUGCAUAGACUAUCGAUAGUUGAACAAAGUCACCAUGAAGAACAAGUAUCCAUUGCCAAGGAUUGAUGACUUAUUUUAUUAGCUUCAGGGUGCCAAGGUGUUUUCAAAGAUCUAUUUGAGGUAUGGCUACCAUCAGUUGAGUAUUAUGGCAUUCGAUGUCCCUAAGACAGCUUUUCUCACUCGGUAUGGGCGUAUGAAUUUCUAGUGAUGUCAUUUGGGCUGACAAAUGCCCCAACAACAUUUAUGGAUUUAAUGAACCGGGUAUUCAAGACCUAUCUGGAUUCAUUCCUGAUUGUUUUUAUUAAUGAUAUCAUGAUCUACUCCCGCAGUCGAGAGGCGCAUGAGCAACAUCUUCGGAUCGUUCUUCAGACUCUAAGAGACAACUAGUUAUAUGCUAAGUUUUCGAAAUGUGAGUUCUGGUUGAGUUCAGUGGCAUUCUUAGGUCAUAUUAUAUUAGCAGAGUGUAUUAAAGUGGAUCCUAAGAAGAUUAUGCAAUCAAGGACUGGCCUAAACCCUCAUCAGCUACAGAGAUCCGGAGUUUCUUGGGUUUGGCGAGUUAUUACCAUCGGUUUGUGGAGGGGUUUUCAUCUAUGGCAACCCCGAUGACCAGGUUGACCCAGAAGGGUGCCCCAUUUCGGUGGUCGAAUGAGUGUGAGGCGAGCUUUCAGAAGCUCAAGACUACUUUGACUACGGCACCGGUGUUAGUGUUUAGUACAGGUUCAGGGCCUUAUACAGUGUAUUGUGAUGCAUAUCGUAUUUGACUUGGUGCGGUGUUGAUGCAGGGUGACAAGGUUAUUGCAUAUGCUUCACGAUAGUUGAAGACUCACGAGAAGAAUUAUCCAGUUCAUGACUUGGAACUAGCAGCCAUUGUUCACGCGCUGAAGAUUUGGAGUAUGGUGUGUCAUGUGAGGUGUUCACGGAUCAUAAAAGUUUGCAGUAUUUGUUCAAGAAGAAGGAGCUCGAUUUGAGGCAAAGGAGAUGGUUAGAUCUAUUGAAAGACUAUGAUAUCACCAUCUCGUAUCAUCCCAUAAAGGCCAAUGUGGUGGCCGAUGCUUUGAGUAGGAAGUUAUCUAGUUUGGGUAGCCUUGCGUAUAUUCCAAUAGGUGAGAGACCGCUUGUUUUAGAUGUUUAGGCUUUAGCCAAUUAGUUCAUGAGGCUGGAUGUUUUUGAGCCCAGUCGUAUUCUAGCUUGUACAGUCGCUCAGUCUUAUUUGUUUGAGCGUUUCAAGGAGUGGCAGUAUGAUGAUCCUCAUUUGCUUGUCCUUAGGGACACAGUGCGACACAGUGAUGCCAAGAAGGUUACUAUUGGAGAUGAUAGAGUUUUGGUGAUGCAGGGUCGAGUUUGUAUGCCUAAUGUGGAUGGACAUCGUGAAUUGAUCCUGGAGGAGGCUCAUAGUUCCUGGUAUUCUAUUCAUCUGGGCACCGCUAAGAUGUAUCAGGACUUGCAGAAACAUUAUUGGUGGAGGAGGAUGAAGAAAUAUAUCGUUGCGUAUGUAGCUCGAUAUUUCAAUUGUCAGUAAGUAAAGUACGAGCUUCAGAGACAUGGUGGUUUGCUUCAGAAGAUUGAUAUUCCUGAGUGGAAGUGGGAGCGUAUUGCUAUACAUUUUGUUGUUGGACUCCCACGGACGUAGAGGAAGUUUGAUGCUAUAUGGGUUAUUGUGAAUAGGCUGACCAAGUCAGCACAUUUCAUUCCUGUAGCAGUUUCCUAUUCUUCGGAGCGAUUGGCAGAGAUCUAUAUAUGUGAGAUCGUUCGUCUUCAUGGUGUGCCCGUGUCUAUCAUUUCGGAUCAAGGUACAUAGUUUACCUCGCAUUUCUGGAGGGUAUUACAGCAUGAGUUGGGUAAGCGGGUCGAGUUGAGCAAAAUAUUUCAUCCUCAGACAGAUGGGUAGUCCGAGCAUACUAUUCAAAUUUUGGAGGAUAUGCUACGCACCUGUGUUACUGACUUUGGAGGUUUUUGGGAUCCGUUCUAGCCAUUAGCGGAGUUUGCCUACAACAACAGUUAUCAAUCGAGAACCCAAAUGGCUCUCUAUGAGGCAUUAUAUGAUAGAUGGUGUCGAUCGCGGUUGGGUGGUUUGAGCCGGGGGAGGCGUUAUUGGGAAUAGAUUUAGCGUAGGAUGCCUUGGACAAGGUUAAGGUAAUUCAGGAUAGACUUCGUACAGCUCAGUCCAGGCAAAAAUGUUAUGCCGACCGGAAGGUUUAUGAUGUGGAAUUCAUGGUCUAAGAGAGAGUGUUAUUUCGAGUUUCAUCCAUGAAGUAUGUGAUGUAGUUUGGGAAGAAGGGAAAGUUAAGUCCUAGGCUCAUCGGGCCUUUUGAGAUCCUUGAUCGAGUGGGGGAGGUGUCCUAUAGACUCGCAUUGCCACUAGUCUUAUCAUCGGUACAUCCAAUAUUUCAUGUGUCCAUGCUUCGAAAGUAUCAUGGCGAUCCAUCCCAUGUGUUAGAUUUCAGCAUUGUCCAGUUGGACAAUGAUUUGACCUACGAGUAGGAGUCGGUAGCCAUUCUAGACCGGCAGGUUCGUUAGUUGAGAUCGAAGAUUUAUCCUUCGGUUCAUGUGAAGUGGAGAGGUCAGCCUAUUGAGGCAGCUACCUGGGAGUCCGAGUCUGAUAUGCGGAGCAGAUAUCCCUAUCUUUUCCCUAGCUCAAGUACUUUUCUAUUUUCAUUCGAGGACGAACGAUUGUUUUAGAGGUGGAGAAUGUGAUGACCCGAAAGGUCAUCUUGUGUUUUAGAACCCAAUUUGGGGUUUCGAGGCUCUCAAAACCUUAUCUUAUUUCUCCUCGAUUUGCGUGUGCAGUCUAGGCGCAUUUCUCGAAAGCCUUUAUGUGAAAAUUUUAGAAAAUAAUAAGUUUUUCCUUUAAAAGUAAAUUUUAGUUGACUUCGGUUAACAUUUUUAGUAAACGGACCCAGACCUGUGUUUUGACGGUCCUGAAGAGUCUGUAGUAAAAUAUGGGACCGGGGCGUAUGCCCGGAAUCGAAUAUUGAGGUCCCUAGCCCGAAAAAUGAUUUUUUGAUGAAAAUUGUUAAACUGAAAUUAUAAUAGUUUUGAGAAAAUGGUUAAUAGUUGAUUUCAUUGGUAUCGGGUCCGUAUUUUGGUUCCAGAACUCGGUAAAGGUCCAUUAUGAUAUUUAUAACUUAUAUGUGAAAUAUGGUAAGAAACAGAACUGAUUUGACGUGAUUCAGACCCUUUGUUGUGAAAACAGAAGUUUUGGAACUUUCUUGAAAUUCAUGCAAUUUGGGUUGGAGCCCUGAGGGCUCGAGUGAGUUUCGGAUAGGCUACAGAGUGAUUUGGAACUUAGAAAUUUUGCUGGUAUAGCUGAACUUAUUGCAGGCCUCAGACCUAGCAAAUGCAAGGUUAAGGUUCAUAUUUGCUACAACUGAUGAGGUCGCAUUUGCGAGCUUCUCAUCGCAAAUGAAAAGAGAAGAUGGGCCAGCCCAUGUUCGCAAAUGUGAACAACACUUCGCAUUUGCGAAGUGAGUCUGCGGGAGGGACUUUCGCAUUUGCGACAGCAGCAGAAAUGCGACAGGUUCGCAUUUGCGAGCUUCGCAAAUGCGAAGCUCAGGUCGCAAAUGCGAUAUCUGCAACUGAUAUGUUUGGACUUAGACGGGAUAUUUCAAAACCUAAACUUCAAGAGGUGAUUUUCCAUGGGCUAGUUUAUCCAAAUCACAGGUAAAUGAUUCUUAACUCAUUUCUUUAAAUCUAUUACAUCUUUUCACAAGAUUUCAUUCUAGAAUAUAGGUUUUUCAUGGUGGAAUUGGAUGUUUUUUGGAUAGAAUUUGGGAAUUUCGAAAUUUGGGGAUUUAGACCUCAAAUUGAGGCUCGAGGGGUGAAUGGGUAAUCGUCGAGUCAUAGCAUGCGAGAUAGUCUUAUUCUUGUAACUGUUGUACUCUUUGAUCAUAUAUUUCAUGUUUAGACUUGUUAUUCCAUGUGUUGAACAACUCUUAUCAUGUUUUAUGAAGUUUGGUACUGAUUGAGUAUUAACUCAGAGUUGAGACUGGUAUUGUGGAUUUAAAUGUUGAAGUAAGACUGGUUCUUGAUAAUUAUAUCUCCGUGUUGUUAUUGUUCAUUGUUUUAGUGAGGGAUAGUGUUAAAACACUAAGGGUAAUGCCGUGCAAUGCAUUGUAAUUGAGUAAUAAUGCAUGAAGGGUGAUGCCGUGUCGUAUCCUGUGAGUGAUAAUGCACAAAGGGUAAUGUCGUGCCAUGUUAUGAGAGAGUUAAUGCACGAAAGGUGAUGUCGUGCCGUUUCUAUUAUUUCUUAUGGUAAGGACAAGAGUAAAAGUAGGAAAGGUGAUGCCGUGCUUUUGUUUUCUAUGUUAUUACUUUCGUUGGUGUUAAGCAUGUUAUUUACUGCGUUUCCUUACUAUACUAUUUCAGGAUUUUAUAUUCCCCUCAACAUGUUUCUCCCCCUUCUCGUUAAUAUUUGCUUAAAUUUCUAUUUGUUGUUAUCUUCUCAUAUAUGAUUUAAUUGCAUAGGUUCAUAUUAUUGUCGUGUCCUUGUCUCGUCACUACUUUAUCGAGGUUAGGCUCGGCACAUACUAGUACAUGGGGUCGGUUGUACUGAUACUACACUCUGCAUUUUUUGUGCAGUUUUCGAGACUAGACCGCGUAGAUCAGAGCUGGGUUGCUACCUUCAGUUCAACAAAAGAUCCAAGGUAGAUCUGCUGGCAUUCACAGACACUGGAGUCCCUUUCCAGUUAUCCUGGUUUCUCUAUUUUAUUUUAUUUUGGAACAGAUGUAUUUUCUUCAAACCAGUAUUUGUAGUGAAUCUUAGAAGUUCGUGGAUUGUGACACCAGAUUCUGGGUAACCAUGUAUUAGUACUUAGAUUAUUAUGAAUUUUCGCACUUCUUACUCUGUUUUGGUUUAAUUACUGUUAUUUACCAUUUUGGAUAAUGGUUAGCAUAUUAAAUCUUUUUGUUGGCUUGCCUAGCAUUCUGAAAAGUUAGGCUCCAUCAGGAUCCCGACGAUGGGAAAUCCGGGUCGUGACACCUCAGCGAUGGGUGAGGAUGAUGUCUUCAAAACAAUGCUUUAGAUAUUUAUGACUAAUCAAUGAGAUAAGCACAAAAAUUAAGUAAUAGUAAUACAAACUAACCAAAUUCGGUGGAAGCUCCUCAGCAUCCCUCGAUGAAUAUGAGCCUUAACUAAUUCGAUGCCUACUAUCCAUAUCUCAUACCGGACGAGCAUCAGCAACCGUCGAUGCCUAUGGAUGGUCAGAAAACAAUGCAUCCCAGUCAUGUGAGGUAAAGGUUGUGCCGACAAUCGACAAUGGAGCUGACGAGGUCACCUGCAAAGUCCCUGGAGUAAGCCUUGUAGACAUGUAAUUUUUGACCCUCCCCAAGAUUUUACAUUUUUAGCGUUUAAAUAGUUAGUUUAGGUCUAAUACCGCUAUUUUAACUAGUUUUGACCCUUUUACUUUAUUUUAUCACAUAAAUAAAAAUUACAAAAAUAUUCGCUCUUGUUUAGCUAUUUGAUAUUUUAUUUAGUUACUUUUAGUUUAUCUACCUUUCAUAAAAUAAAAAAAAUAUAUACAAAAAUAAUUUCACUUUUAUUUUUUAAUUUUAAUCUAGUAAUUUAUUUUGAUUAGGAAUGAUUUCACAAUUUUAUAGUUAUUAUUGUAGGAAUAAAUAUUUUUAGUCUAGUAGAGUUAAAGAGCCACUUUUAAAGGUAAAUGUUUGCCAAAAUUCGGCCCAAUUCGGAUCUAGCCCAUAAAUCCAAUCCCCUUUACCCAUUCCCCUCUUAUAUCUUAAUUAAAAACUAACCCUAGUCAAAAAGACCCUUGAGCCGUUUCUAUCAUCUUAAAAACCUUACACACCUUAAGCUUCCUCUUCAUCACAAAAAACACCAUAGUAGCAACUCCUUCUCCAAAAAAACCAUCAGCCGCAACACACAAAGACCUAGAUAUAGCCACCUCCCCUAAUUCAUAUACACAUCUACCGCACCCCUACUUCGUUGGACCACGCCGAUGACCACUCUUAAACCCCCCAUAUCGAUCAGAUCUGGAUGAUUUGACAUGAAAGCUCCAUGUUUGGCCGAACUCCAACGAUCUCUCCUUGUUCUAUGCCGCAGCUACCUCAUUUAUUCGCACCGCUGCUUGUCGCUGUGGAAAUAGCGGUGUGUGUGUUCGAUUUUCUGAUUUUUGCCAGAAUUUCAGAUCCGGUUGUUUUUUUUUACUUUCCGGCGAGUUUCGAGGUAGAAGAGUCGAGGUCUGUCUGUGUUUCAUCGACUUUCGGCAAGUUCCGAAGUCGAAGUUCCAUUGGUCUUGGUCGCGUUUCCAUCAGACUCUGGAGCUGCAAAUCAGCUAAGCUCAGAUUCAUUUCUGGAGAGGCUUGUUUUUUGUUUGUUUUGGUUCUACUGUAAUCAGGUAUUACUUUUGACUGGAAUGAUGCAAAUAUUAUGUUCCGUUGAAUGAAGAUUAUACGAGCUCACCUCUAUUUAAAUUUGUUUCAAAUUCUAGAGUUGUGUAAAUGUUUACCUUGUUUAAAUGCUAUAUUGCUAUUUGAAAUGUC